rnacentral:tRNA from 1 species
UCCCUGGUGGUCCAGUGGCUAAGACUCUGCACUUCCAAGGCAGGAGGCCCAGGGUUCAAUCCCUGGUCAGGGAA